rnacentral:rRNA from 1 species
UACGGAGGGGGGCUAGCGUUGUUCGGAAUUACUGGGCGUAAAGAGCUCGUAGGCGGUCUGUCGCGUCGAAUGUGAAAACCCGGGGCUCAACCCCGGGCCUGCAUUCGAUACGGGCAGACUAGAGUUCGGUAGGGGAGUCUGGAAUUCCUGGUGUAGCGGUGAAAUGCGCAGAUAUCAGGAGGAACACCGGUGGCGAAGGCGGGACUCUGGGCCGAUACUGACGCUGAGGAGCGAAAGCGUGGGGAGCGAACAGG